rnacentral:snoRNA from 1 species
AAGCAGGAUUCAGACUACAAUAUAGCUGUUAAGUGCUGUAUUGUCAUUCCCCCUGCUCAAAUUAAAGUUGUUUCUUAACUAUACCCAUCUGCUAUUCUGUAGCAGCCAGGGAUGCUUGGUCACAUACAUGU